rnacentral:rRNA from 1 species
GAUAACACUUAGAAAUAGGUGCUAAUACCGCAUGAGCGCACAGCUCCGCAUGGGGCGGUGUGAAAAACUCCGGUGGUAUACGAUGGAUCCGCGUCUGAUUAGCCAGUUGGCGGGGUAACGGCCCACCAAAGCGACGAUCAGUAGCCGGCCUGAGAGGGUGAACGGCCACAUUGGGACUGAGACACGGCCCAAACUCCUACGGGAGGCAGCAGUGGGGAAUAUUGCACAAUGGGGGAAACCCUGAUGCAGCGACGCCGCGUGAGUGAAGAAGUAUUUCGGUAUGUAAAGCUCUAUCAGCAGGAAAGAAAAUGACGGUACCUGACUAAGAAGCCCCGGCUAACUACGUGCCAGCAGCCGCGGUAAUACGUAGGGGGCAAGCGUUAUCCGGAUUUACUGGGUGUAAAGGGAGCGUAGACGGUGAAGCAAGUCUGAAGUGAAAGGCGGGGGCUCAACCCCCGGACUGCUUUGGAAACUGUUUGACUGGAGUGCAGGAGAGGUAAGUGGAAUUCCUAGUGUAGCGGUGAAAUGCGUAGAUAUUAGGAGGAACACCAGUGGCGAAGGCGGCUUACUGGACUGUAACUGACGUUGAGGCUCGAAAGCGUGGGGAGCAAACAGGAUUAGAUACCCUGGUAGUCCACGCGGUAAACGAUGAUCACUAGGUGU